GUCAGGAUGGCCGAGCGGUCUAAGGCGCCAGACUCAAGGUGAACAACCUUCCGAAGGUUCGGGACUUCUGGUCUCCGAAUGGAGGCGUGGGUUCAAAUCCCACUCCUGACA
rnacentral:tRNA from 1 species